AGUAUUUAGGUAUGUAAAGUUCUUUUAUUAAAGAAGAAAAAAUGAUGGAAAAAUCAUUCUGACGGUAUUUAAUGAAUAAGCCCCGGCUAACUAUGUGCCAGCAGCUGCGGUAAUACAUGGGGGGCAAGCGUUAUCCGGAUUUAUUGGGCGUAAAGGGUGCGUAGGCGGUUUAAUAAGUCUAUGGUCUAAGUUCAACGCUUAACGUUGUGAUGCUAUAGAAACUGUUUGACUAGAGUUGGAUAGAGGCAAGUGGAAUUCCAUGUGUAGCGGUAAAAUGCGUAAAGAUAUGGAGGAACACCAGUAGCGAAGGCGGCUUGCUGGGUCUUAACUGACGCUGAGGCACGAAAGCGUGGGGAGCAAACAGGAUUAGAUACCCUGGUAGUCCACGCCGUAAACGAUGAGUACUAAGUGUUGGGUUAAACCAGUGCUGAAGUUAACGCAUUAAGUACUCCGCCUGAGUAGUACGUACGCAAGUAUGAAACUUAAAGGAAUUGACGGGACUCCGCACAAGCGGUGGAUCAUGUUGUUUAAUUCGAAGAUACACGAAAAACCUUACCAGGUCUUGACAUACUCUGCAAAGCUAUAGAAAUAUAGUGGAGGUUAUCAGGGAUACAGGUGGUGCAUGGUUGUCGUCAGCUCGUGUCGUGAGAUGUUGGGUUAAGUCCCGCAACGAGCGCAACCCUUAUCGCUAGUUACCAUCAUUUAGUUGGGCACUUUAGUGAGACUGCCAAUGAUAAAUUGGAGGAAGGUGGGGAUUACGUCAAAUCAUCAUGCCCCUUAUGACCUGGGCUACAA
rnacentral:rRNA from 1 species